AUGCUCCUGGACUUCACCAAGCACUUCGUCACGGUGCCAACGGAGUUCAUACUCAGGAACAACACCAGCUGCUCCUGGAAGGUGACGGUAAAGCUGACGAACGGUAGGGUGACCCUGGAUCAGGGUUGGGCCACCUACGCAGCCGUCCAUCAGAUCAAGAUUGGCUACAUGGUGACAUUCAAGCUCCUCACUCCUGUCACCCUCAAGGUCAUCAUCUUCGACGAGGAUGGCACUGAGGUCGUCAACAAGUACGGGAAGCAUGACGAAGCCUUCGCCGCCAUGGAGUUGGGCAGGGGCACCUCCUUUCUAAUUACUCUCGAGUUUGCUUUGAACUGUUUAUGGUUUAUGCUUUGA
rnacentral:rRNA from 1 species